GAUGAACGCUAGCGGCAGGCUUAACACAUGCAAGUCGAGGGGCAGCGUAGAUUGCUUGCAAUCUGACGGCGACCGGCGAACGGGUGCGUAACGCGUAUAGAAUCUGCCUUGUACAGGAGGAUAGCCUUUAGAAAUGAAGAUUAAUACUCCAUAAUGCUAAGAGAUGGCAUCAUUUUUUAGUUAAAGAUUUAUCGGUACAAGAUGACUAUGCGUCCUAUUAGCUAGAUGGUAAGGUAACGGCUUACCAUGGCAACGAUAGGUAGGGGGUCUGAGAGGAUUAUCCCCCACACUGGUACUGAGACACGGACCAGACUCCUACGGGAGGCAGCAGUGAGGAAUAUUGGUCAAUGGGCGCAAGCCUGAACCAGCCAUGCCGCGUGCAGGAUGACUGCCCUAUGGGUUGUAAACUGCUUUUAUACAGGAAGAAACAGUCCCUCGUGAGGGGCCUUGACGGUACUGUAAGAAUAAGCACCGGCUAACUCCGUGCCAGCCGCCGCAGUAACAC
rnacentral:rRNA from 1 species